GGAUGUGAGGGCUAUCUGUCUGUAACCUCUGUCACCAAAUUGAUUGCCAGGGUUGAUUCAGCUGAUCUGGCUGGCUAGCAGGUGUCCGCUUCCUCCCUCACUGCUCCAUGUGCGUCCCUUCUGAAGCUGCGCACUUGGUCAAAGACGACAACUUUCUCUGACAGAGAUGUGCCAUUCAUUGGUCAAGGGUGUAUGGUAGCUGCGCUCCCCUUCUAGAACCUUCAAACAAGCUCAAGGUUAAAAUUCAAGAUGUAACAGUUAUGAGAUGUAGAAAAAACCUUAAAGAAAGAAGUGUUACAAGAUUGUUA
rnacentral:snRNA from 1 species